CGGGGGAGCAAGCGUUGUUCGGAUUUACUGGGCGUAAAGGGCGCGUAGGCGGCCAGCACAAGUCAGUUGUGAAAUCUCCGGGCUUAACUCGGAACGGUCAACUGAUACUGUGCGGCUAGAGUGUAGAAGGGGCAACUGGAAUUCUCGGUGUAGCGGUGAAAUGCGUAGAUAUCGAGAGGAACACCUGCGGCGAAGGCGGGUUGCUGGGCUGACACUGACGCUGAUGCGCGAAAGCCAGGGGAGCGGACGGGAUUAGAUACCCCGGUAGUCCUGGCCUUAAACGAUGGAUGCUUGGUGUCUGGAGUUUUAUAGUCUCCGGGUGCCGUAGCUAACGCGUUAAGCAUCCCGCCUGGGGAGUACGGUCGCAAGACUG
rnacentral:rRNA from 1 species